GUGUAUACCACUUCCCGCUCGCAUUUUUUGGUCAUGCUAGUCACAAUAAAGAGAACUGGCAAUGAUAGUUGAUCUUGUAGGUCCCACUUAUAAGUUUGAGUUAUCGACAAUUGGCAAGCCAAGAUCAGCCCUCUGAUUCGUUUAUGUGAUUUCACUAGACGAGAAGGAGCAGGAUCAAGUCAAGAGGAUACUAUCAGUGAAAGAAAUAAUGAAAGGUGAAAGGUCGAAUCCUAUAUGGAGUUUGUACUUCAAAAUACAAGGAUGAAGCUUUGGAUUUAGGAUACUUCUUUAAGAUUCUUUUUUAGAUGGCCAAAAAUUAUGUGUUGUGGAAUUAGAAAAGGCCUCGACCACAGGAGAUCAACGAGCAAGCAGAAAUUAAGUGCAAGUAUAAUUAUCUUGACACUUUUAAUAGUAAAUAGAAAUGUAAAGAUAAUUCAUGGAUAGAAGGACUGUAUAAAUAGAGAAGCUACACACAUAGAGGAUUUAGCAGGCUUGUUGGAAGAGCUAGUUUUUUGUUGCUUAAAUUGUAACUCUUUUGAUUGUUGUUUUAAAUAUUGUGUUUGUUGGACCAAAAAAUUAUUGCUU